rnacentral:rRNA from 1 species
UGGGGAAUUUUGGACAAUGGGCGCAAGCCUGGUCCAGCCAUGCCGCGUGCGGGAAGAAGGCCUUCGGGUUGUAAACCGCUUUUGUCAGGGAAGAAAUCUUCUGAGUUAAUACCUCGGGAGGAUGACGGUACCUGAAGAAUAAGCACCGGCUAACUACGUGCCAGCAGCCGCGGUAAUACGUAGGGUGCAAGCGUUAAUCGGAAUUACUGGGCGUAAAGCGUGCGCAGGCGGUUUUGUAAGACAGAGGUGAAAUCCCCGGGCUCAACCUGGGAACUGCCUUUGUGACUGCAAGGCUUGAGUGCGGCAGAGGGGGAUGGAAUUCCGCGUGUAGCAGUGAAAUGCGUAGAUAUGCGGAGGAACACCGAUGGCGAAGGCAAUCCCCUGGGCCUGCACUGACGCUCAUGCACGAAAGCGUGGGGAGCAAACAGGAUUAGAUAGCCCCUGGUAGUCCACGCCCUAAACGAUGUCAACUGGUUGUUGGGAAGGUUCCUUCUCAGUAACGUAGCUAACGCGUGAAGUUGACCGCCU